rnacentral:rRNA from 1 species
UACGAAGGGGGCUAGCGUUGCUCGGAAUUACUGGGCGUAAAGCGCACGUAGGCGGACUUUUAAGUCGGGGGUGAAAUCCUGGAGCUCAACUCCAGAACUGCCUUCGAAACUGAAAGUCUUGAGUUCGGGAGAGGUGAGUGGAACUGCGAGUGUAGAGGUGAAAUUCGUAGAUAUUCGCAAGAACACCAGUGGCGAAGGCGGCUCACUGGCCCGAUACUGACGCUGAGGUGCGAAAGCGUGGGGAGCAAACAGG